UCUUCCCCCUGAACGAGAAGACCACCCUUAUUUUCUUGCAAUUUUAUCACUUUUCUAGCAGUAGUCUAAAUAUAAUCUUUUCUUUUUCGCAUUUACUACUUUCCUAGGAGUAGUUUUUAAGUAGAACCCUGGAGUCUGUCUGCCCCACGGGCAUCACUCCGUUGUAAACUAUAUAUUUGCAGAGUCUGUAUGCCUUUCGGGCACACUCUGUUUUAUUAAUAUAUAUAUUUAGGCAUUCAGCUCUUUCAGUCGACCAAUCAUUGUGUAUUUUAUUUAUUCGACUCUUUCAGCCGAUCAGUUACUGUUUACUUCUUCCAUUCGCUCUUCUGUCAACAUUGAUCCCUGCACAGUUCGUACAUUCGGCUCCUCCAGCCGAACCAGUUUUAUAGUAAAGAUUUUCGAACCCGGCUAAUUCGAUCCCUCGUCAGCCGAAUCGCUUGAUCUGUCGAAGGGAGCAAACUUCGAGAGUCAAUAUCCG
rnacentral:lncRNA from 1 species